rnacentral:rRNA from 1 species
CUAUUCCUACGGGAGGCAGCAGUAGGGAAUAUUGCUCAAUGGGGGAAACCCUGAAGCAGCAACGCCGCGUGGAGGAUGAAGGUUUUCGGAUUGUAAACUCCUUUUGUUAGAGAAGAUAAUGACGGUAUCUAACGGAUAAACACCGGCUAACUCCGUGCCAGCAGCCGCGGUAAUACGGAGGGUGCAAGCGUUACUCGGAAUCACUGGGCAUAAAGAGCGCGUAGGCGGGAUAGCAAGUCAGAUGUGAAAUCCUAUGGCUUAACCAUAGAACUGCCUUUGAAACUGUAAUUCUAGAGUAUGGGAGG